GAAACAGUGGCUAAGACUGGAUAGGAAGAUAAAAGGCAUCUUGUAUCUUUUAAAAGACCUAGUUAAUAGGUAUGCUUUAGGAGGGGCUUGCGCCAUAUUAGUUAGUUGGUAGGGUAAUGGCCUACCAAGACGAUGAUGUGUAGCUGGACUGAGAGGUUGAACAGCCACAUUGGGACUGAGACACGGCCCAAGCUCCUACGGGAGGCAGCAGUAGGGAAUUUUCGGCAAUGGAGGAAACUCUGACCGAGCAACGCCGCGUGAAUGACGAAGUACUUCGGUAUGUAAAGUUCUUUUAUCGAGGAAGAAAAGCAAAUGGCGAACCAUUUGUUUGCCGGUACUUGAUGAAUAAGCCCCGGCUAAUUAUGUGCCAGCAGCCGCGGUAAGACAUAAGGGGCAAGUGUUAUCCGGAAUUAUUGGGCGUAAAGGGUGCGUAGGCGGUCUAGUAAGUCAGUGGUGUAAUGUCAACGCUUAACGUUGUCCGGCUAUUGAAACUGCUAAACUUGAGUUAGAUAGAGGCGAGUGGAAUUCCAUGUGUAGCGGUAAAAUGCGUAAAUAUAUGGAGGAACACCAGAGGCGUAGGCGGCUCGCUGGGUCUUAACUGACGCUGAGGCACGAAAGCGUGGGGAGCAAACAGGAUUAGAUACCCUGGUAGUCCACGCCGUAAACGAUGAGUACUAAGUGUCGGGUUAAACCGGUACUGAAGUUAACACAUUAAGUACUCCGCCUGAGUAGUACGUACGCAAGUAUGAAACUUAAAGGAAUUGACGGGACUCCGCACAAGCGGUGGAUCAUGUUGUUUAAUUCGAAGAUACCCGAAAAACCUUACCAGGUCUUGACAUGUUUUUGCAAAAUGAUAGUAAUAUCGUGGAGGUUACCAGAAACACAGGUGGUGCAUGGUUGUCGUCAGCUCGUGUCGUGAGAUGUUAGGUUAAGUCCUAAAACGAGCGAAACCCUUAUCGUUAGUUGCCAGCACGUUAUGGUGGGGACUUUAACGAGACUGCCAAUGAUAAAUUGGAGGAAGGUGAGGAUCACGUCAAAUCAGCAUGCCCCUUAUGACCUGGGCUACAAACGUGAUACAAUGGCUGUUACAAAGGGUAGCUGAAACGCAAGUUCUUGGCCAAUCCCCAAAAACAGUCCCAGUCCGGAUUGAAGUCUGCAACUCGACUUCAUGAAGUUGGAAUCGCUAGUAAUCGCGAAUCAGCAUGUCGCGGUGAAUACGUUCUCGGGGUUUGUACACACCGCCCGUCA
rnacentral:rRNA from 1 species